rnacentral:rRNA from 1 species
AUUGAACGCUGGCGGCAGGCCUAACACAUGCAAGUCGAGCGGUAGAGAGAAGCUUGCUUCUCUUGAGAGCGGCGGACGGGUGAGUAAUGCCUAGGAAUCUGCCUGGUAGUGGGGGAUAACGUUCGGAAACGAACGCUAAUACCGCAUACGUCCUACGGGAGAAAGCGGGGGAUCUUCGGACCUCGCGCCAUUAGAUGAGCCUAGGUCGGAUUAGCUAGUUGGUGAGGUAAUGGCUCACCAAGGCGACGAUCCGUAACUGGUCUGAGAGGAUGAUCAGUCACACUGGAACUGAGACACGGUCCAGACUCCUACGGGAGGCAGCAGUGGGGAAUAUUGGGACAAUGGGCGCAAGCCUGAUCCAGCCAUGCCGCGUGCAGGAUGACGGUCCUAUGGAUUGUAAACUGCUUUUGUACAGGAGAAACACUACUUCGUGAAGUAGCUUGACGGUACUGUAAGAAUAAGGAUCGGCUAACUCCGUGCCAG